UUUGCCCUUAGACAUAGCUAACUGACUAAUGUGAUCCACACAUUUCUGAGUUAUUUGCCCUUGAACAUAGCUAACUGACUAAUGUGAUCCACAUAUUCCAGAGUUAGUUGCCCUUGAACAUAGCUAUCUGACAAAUGUGAUCCACACAUUCCUGAGGUAUUUGCCCUUGAACAUAGCUGACAAAUGUGAUACACAUUCCUGAGGUAUUUGCCCUUGAACAUAGCUAUCUGACAAAUGUUAUCCACACAUUCCUGAGGUAUUUGCCCUUGAACAUAGCUGACAAAUGUGAUCCACACAUUCCUGAGGUAUUUGCCCUUGAACAUAGCUGACAAAUGUGAUACACAUUCCUGAGGUAUUUGCCCUUGAACAUAGCUAUCUGACAAAUGUUAUCCACACAUUCCUGAGGUAUUUGCCCUUGAACAUAGCUAUCUGACAAAUGUUAUCCACACAUUCCUGAGGUAUUUGCCCUUGAACAUAGCUGACAAAUGUGAUCAACACAUUCCUGAGGUAUUUGCCCUUAAAAAUAGCUGACAAAUGUGAUUCACACAUUCCCGUGUUAUUUGCUCUUGAACAUAGCUCGCUUUCAAAGCAUUUCUCGGGCACGAGUCUCUAAGACAAAGCUCUUGCUAUAUAGUGCUAUUAAUUUUUGAAAGAAAAAAAAUGUGUUUCGUCAUACAAUUAUUUGUUAUGGAUGCAUGAUUUACUUAAGCUUCUGUCAUUUAUUUUUAUGCCCCCUUUCGAGGAAAAGGGAAUAUAUAGAUUUUGCACUGUCUGUCUGUAAGUCUGUCAGUCUGUCUGUCUGUCACACUUUUCGUGUCUGCUCUCUUUUUCAAAUACUUUUCAUCCCAUCUUUACCAAACUUGGUCAGAAGCUGUAUCUAGACAAUAUCUAGGUCAAGUUCGAAUAUGGGUCAUGCCAGGUCAAAAACUAGGUCAUGGGGUCACUUCCUGCAUUUCAAGGUUUUAGCAUGGUAAAAUGCUAAUAACUUCUAUCAAAGCGUUUAUAGGGGGCAUGUGUCAUCCUAUGGCGACAGCUAUUGUAAAUUUCUUUUUUUUCCGAUAAACAAGCUUUUGAAAAUGUAGUUUUAUACCAUUAAGUAAAAUGUAAAUACUGUACAUUAUGAUUUUUAUUAUGAUUGUUACAUAUUUUACACACUCACGAUCAUGUUAUAUCUACUGAACUCAUGUUUUAUACAUUCCCAAUCAUUUUAUAUCUACUGAACUGUGCAGUUUGUUUGUAAAGUCCCUAUUUUGUAAAUGUUUGGUGCAUCUAAAUGUGGAUUUGUUAGAUA